rnacentral:rRNA from 1 species
GAUGAACGCUGGCGGCGUGCUUAACACAUGCAAGUCGAACGGUGAAGGCGGAGCUUGCUCUGCUGGAUCAGUGGCGAACGGGUGAGUAACACGUGAGCAAUCUGCCCUGACUCUGGGAUAAGCGCUGGAAACGGCGUCUAAUACUGGAUACGAGCUGCGAAGGCAUCUUUAGCAGCUGGAAAGAACUUCGGUCAGGGAUGAGCUCGCGGCCUAUCAGCUUGUUGGUGAGGUAACGGCUCACCAAGGCGUCGACGGGUAGCCGGCCUGAGAGGGUGACCGGCCACACUGGGACUGAGACACGGCCCAGACUCCUACGGGAGGCAGCAGUGGGGAAUAUUGCACAAUGGGCGAAAGCCUGAUGCAGCAACGCCGCGUGAGGGACGACGGCCUUCGGGUUGUAAACCUCUUUUAGCAGGGAAGAAGCGAAAGUGACGGUACCUGCAGAAAAAGCGCCGGCUAACUACGU